rnacentral:lncRNA from 1 species
GCCUCAACUUGCACCUUUUUGCCGUCACCCACAUAGAUGUAUCUUUCACCAUCAUUUGGUUUUCGACAGUUCAGGCAACCUUGCAUAGAUAUACUUAAGUGAGUAGUAGCAGCCGAAUCUACCCACCAAGUAUCCUUAUGUAUCGAAAUUAAAUUAACUUCAGAACAAACAAGAGAAAGAGAUGUACCUUUUUUCGCACGCC